UGUCAGACCAGCUGGAACUCCCAAAGCAAACAAGAAAUGAGGAUUCCUUGCGGACUCUUAACAGUCCCAUAACAUUUUUCUUGCCUUUUUUGGUUUUCAAAUAAUAUACAACAUUUUUUUACUGCCAAUAAAGUUUACUGGAAUUUUCAUGGCUAACGGUCACACAUGGUGGAAGUGGGAGCCAGGGAUUAAAGCGGACAGGAUGCUAUUUUCAUGCUGCUUCUGAAAGGAAUGGCUUCUCUUCCAGCAGAGGAAGGAGCUGCGGCUGCACGGUGCCAUGCAACAGUAGUGUCAGAAAUAUCACAGCUGGAACCAAUGCUGUCUAGAAGCUCUGAUACAGGCCCAGCUGCUUGUGAUUCUACAGCACGCCCACAGGAACUCAAACAACAGAUCCAGAGCUGCUGUGGGGCCAACAUAUCCUCACUAGAAAAGGAGCCUACAGGCUUUAACAAAACAGAGGUCUGCUUCCACACAAGCACCUGGACUCUUCUCCAAUUCCAUUACAAGGCUGAUUAACAGGCAGGGUCACUGAAGUAGUACAGAAGAAAAUGUUGUAUGGAGCUGCAAUACAUCAAGCUUUACAGUAAGACACAACCGUUAAGAUUUCUACUUCAAUGCAGUUGCACCUUCCUAGAGGCAUCAACCAGGGGACAAAGGCAUCAAGGAAAAGGUUCAGGAACUGCCUCCAUGCUGCAUUAAGGUCAUGGAAAUCCCUGCACGUUUCAGGAAAAGAAUAUAUGAAUCUGCUUUCCACUGACAUACCUUUUUAUUAAAGGUAGCUGAAGCACAGUGGAUGUAUUUCCUAGUACUUCUCAUAAUCAUUGUCUGACCUUUCUUUUUCACCAUUCAUAUUCUCAGCACUAUUGCUUUUCAAGGCGCAUAGCAGAUAUUACAGCAAAUGCCUUCAUAAGGUAUUGUGAAGAACUCUUUGCUUUUCACAUCUAAAAUUCCCUACACAUAAAAGUUCUUUAGAAAAGAAAACAUCAGUGAGAGACUAAAUACUUGUCAAAGAGAAGAGAAUCACAUACUCUAUUAAAUCUGCUUUUAUCACAGCAAACUUUCAUCCACAAAGAAAGGAAACACACUUACCCGAUCAGCACUGUUUGCAAAGGAAAUGACAAAUGGUGAGUGUUUAUAACUUAAAGUGUUUUUAAUGAGCUUAAGUGCUGUAUUCUAGUCUUGGAGGAAAAGUACUUAGAAAAACAAGCAAUAUAACAGAGGUUAUGAGAUUUGUUAAUUCCCCUCGAACCACUCCAUACUAGUGUAUAUUCUUUCACCAUCUUUGCCAGCCUUGUUUUCUGGCCUGUGGAAUAAUUGUAGCCUAGCAUAGAAAGAACAUGUCUUUUGCCAAACGUGAAAGUGAGCUCCUAUGUCAUUUCCCUGCUGGAUUCAGUAGGGCCCAUGACUGAAUCACCAGCCAUUUGCAGCCAGCCUGCUCACUACAUUUAACUUCCCAGAGUGAUUUUUGCAUGACAGCCUCUGAGUGAAGAAAAGCAGGUUCUACUUUUCCAGCUUCUGGGUAAAACAAGGGCUAUAUUACAGGUAACAGUGCAAAUGAAUCCAAGUCUGAAACCAGUUAAAGACAGCAAGUCAGAACAAGAAUCUGGGAGUGUAGUAAUUUCAUUAAUCAUCUUCACUAUCUUGGCAUACAUCAGGAACUCAUUAGCAAAACUUAGGAGCUAAGCAGAGGGGUAUGAAUACUCAAAAAAACUGCAAUUAAAGGAGGACAACAAACACCCAAGGGAAGAUCAAAUGAACAUUAAUCUGUUAAAGAAAGAACAAUACAGAACUGUGGAGAAGAGUUCCCUAUUGCAAGGAUGCACCACGCAGCCAGAUCCUUCUGCCUCCACUGAGCCCAAAGAAGUUUCACUGCUCACUCCCAGAUAUAAAAGCAGGACCAAAGCAUGAGGGCUGUAAGCAUUAUGUACAUGAGUAGGCAAAGAUUGACCAUACAGUAGAGUAACUAAGCAAAUCAAAGAUAGAGAUAGCAGCUGGGUCAACCUGUAAUGGGCUUACUAUCAAGUCCUGCACCUCCAUGUGUUACUGGUUGCUCUUAUGUCCUUUAAGACGUGGUGCUCUCUACAAUAAAAACAUUUAAUAGGCCAAAGGGAAAGCCCAGUUCCUGCUGUUGCUCAAAACGAAUGACAAAUGGAGAGAGAUUAAGGAAAUCUCCAACAGGAUUUUCUGGGAGAGAGGUUCCCAGACAAGCAUCAGAGAAAAAUCUUUUGCAUGGUAUGUAAAAUCUUGCAAAUUUAGACUAAGUAGAAAGCCAGCUGCUUGGAGACUAUUUUGUUUGUUUGUUUCAAGAUGUAGAUUAAGGCAGUGUUCUUGCUUAAGUUUCAGAAAUGGAAAGUCACAGUACCAACCUGGCUUUAGCACAGCAAAACCAAGGGUUGUCUGGGUUUACAUGGAAAAACUGAGACUUGAAGGAACACUGAGCCUCCAGUACUCCCAAGGUAUUACAAUGGCAGACACUGAACCCUGGGCAGGCCAUUUUGUUGUGGAAACAACAGGCAAUAUAAUUCUAGCUGAGCCAUGUUGGCACACGCUCCUAAACAUUGCAAAAAUUCCCUCUGAAUUCCAAAUGACUGGUCUUGCAAGGAUUUCUGAAAGCCCAUAGCACAUGGAGCCUUAUUACCUUGAGCUCAACAGUGCAACUGGAAAAUAGAGAAUUGUCUCCCUGUGACUUUGGUACUGAAGUUAAGGUGGAAGGGGGACAUUCAUAGCAACACAAGCUGAAAGGCAAGGCAGUCUUCUGUACUGGGAUUUCUAGAGAAGGACAUCGGUCCUUCAGGAAUUACCCAGCAGAGUUCUCAGUAACUUCAAUAAGUAUGCAUGCCUCAAAAUAUGUUCCUUAACCACAGCUACUGAAAACGUCACUUUCUAGGAACAGACUGAAAGAACCACUUGGUUUACACCUGCUCAGGACAAUAUCAGACCUCCAAAGAGAAAAUAAAAUAGCAGGUGAUGUAUAAAUCAACUUAUACAUAAAGACAAUUAAGAAAAGGCAACUCCCAUUCUGCCUCCUUCUCCAAGCACCCAACAACUGACUGAAAUGCUUAAACACUUCAGAUCUAACCUCAUAUUUAAUACUCAUACCAGUUUACACCACCUUGAGGGUAUAUAAAAUAGCCUAACUGUGAGUAUAACUAAUUACAUGUAAUCAAGAGUUCAGGCUCCCAUUGCUUGAGGUGGAGAAAAUAUUCAUUCCAAAUCCAGCUUCAUUUUGUAAAUGAAUUUUCAUGACUGAUCAGCAUAUCUGCUAAUCAACAUAUCUACAGUCUAGUCCUUCACCAUGAAUGCCAAGAACAGACAGUACUGAUGACAAAAAAUGAUACAAUCUGCACGUUCAUUGAAUUAUCAGUGCUUGAUGGAUACUCCGUGCCCUUGGCAGAAAAUUAAAUGUGAUUGACUGGAGUUGGAAUGGAUGAAGAUGAAGUCCAUUUCAAAAGUCUGUUUUUUCUCCAAACCUAUAGCCAAGAGCAAUGUCCCAGCACACAAUCCUAUCGUUCAUUGCAGAAUUUCAUUUCAAAGUAACUCUGCUUAGCAUGCCACUCGAAACAUCGCAGGAGGUGUGCCAGUACUACCACAGGCUGUGCACAUGAGCUGUGAACACCUUGCAGUGCAGACAACAGUGCCUCUCAUCCAUGUUGACCUUGACAGACACUGCCACAACAAACCUACCUGGGAUACCAUGACUCAGGUCCUGGAACACACUUGCCUGAAUAUGUUGGAAUAAAACAGUGGUAGUUUCAGAAUGCAACAGGUAAGCAGUAUAGAACCUGGCUCACAACUGGAACUUGCUUGUUAGCUCAUCCUUAAUGAAUGUCACUUUGAGGUCUAUCAUUUUCUAGACGCUAAUGAGAAAAAACUGGAGAUAGGACUCAGUUGCACUUCUGUUUUCUGCCUCUUAACUCAACCCUUACGUUCUGCUGCCUCACCAAAGGGGAAAAAAAAAAAAGCAAAAGCCCAAACACGUGACAGCAUUUCAAGAUUGACCUACUUACUGUAGGUUUGGAUCCUUCGCAUUCUUGGCUCCCAACAUUUGCAACUGCAUACAUGAAAACCAGCAUACAAAAACAGGGAUUAUUUUUCCCAUGGCACUUCAAAAUAAAGGAAAGGUUGAAAACUGCCUGGAAAUUCACACUGAAUGAACACAUCUGUCUGCAAUCUUCAGGCUGUAAACAGUGCUGCUGGCAAACAGGAGAAUGAUUAUUUGAAGGGAAGAAAUACCCCAAGCAUGGUGUUUUGCUGCACCAUGCCUGCAUUUUCAUCCAGUACCAGAAGACUGCAAAAGUAAAUGCACACCAACUAAUUAAGUCUAAAAACAGAAAGGCCACAUCUACUAGUCUGAUUCCCACAGCUAAAAACUCCUUGAAAAUACUGCACUGUGAACUUUGACAGCAGUAACUCACCAGAAAGUGAGUACUAUGGUACAUGCUCUGUAAUGGUGCUCAAAUUUGGCUCCUGCUACUUGGCUUGUCAUGGGAAGCAGAGAGAAGUGAUAAACCUUCUUUCUGGCUCUUCAUUCCCAUCCACUGACCUCAGAUCUUGUAACAUAUUUGCUAUGUAAAGUCACCCAUUAUUCAGUAGCAAGGAUUAGCUGCUACAGCUAAAGCCUGGGGCCUGCUUUCAGACCUCAGUGAAGAGUCACUCAAUUGGGAAACUAGAAGCCCGUACUUCAGUCUGUAAUAAUGAGAAUUUAAACAAUCACUCUGGAUUUGAAAAUCCCAAAGCAGAGGGGUGGACCAGGCUCAGCACACCCAGCCGGCUCACAUGGGAUACCAGUAUCACAUCUGUAACACUACAGCAAGGCAGCUGCGUGUGUGCAAUUUAAACAGGUACUUUCAAGAAGGAAAAGCACUUUGAGACAGUUCUGGUACUGCAUAUAAUCUGCAGCCAGGUUUUUUAGCUGAGCACACUGCUGCGUAUCCAUUUGGCACAGCCAGAGGAAAGCGCACUUCAUCCUGCAUUUGUCAGCAUUAGUGAUGAGCAGAUUCCACAUAAGGGCAUGAAACAGCACACGUUGGCAACAAGGCAUUCAUAAGAAAUAAGUGAGAUUUAAACAAGGAUUUCUUUCUUUGUGCUUCUGUCCUGAAAGGACGACUUGAGAUGACAGAAGGAAGAAUGAAGAUUCUUCCAGAACUUUCUAAGAAGCUUCCACUGGAUGACAGUAAAUUUUCCUCUCCCAGCACAGUUUCUGACAUGCUUACAACAGCUGGGAGCAGUGCUGACUCUGGGCAGCUCAUCUGAGUUCUCACUCCAAUCUGAAAUCUUUGCAAAGAAAUGCAAGCUCCUCCUCUGCAGAAGGAAGAAAAUCAGAUGAAAGAGCAGCACCUCCAGCUGAAGUGGAACUCUUCAGAAGACAAAGUCGUGGAUGGAGUGGGGAAAUCAGGCAGCAAACGCCCGGGCUCUGUUCUCCUGAGCUCUGCAGCCAAACAAGCCCAGCACCUGGAGCAGCCCUUUCAAUUGGAUGGCUCCUCAGCAGGGAAAACCACCUCACAGCGCUGCCCCAUGGAUCACAGCCAUGUCUUAUUGCAAAGUCCUUAAUACUGUCAUACAGAAACCUAUUCUUUUUUUAACCAGCAGACAAUUACUGAUGUAGUACAAAAGUCAGUGGUUACUCUUCUGGGGAUCACUUCUCGCUGCAUAUACAAGAUAGGCAAAAAAAUAGAGUACCUUAUGCACUAAGUACAAAAUUAAACAUGUUUGUAAAUGUGCACACACGUGUGGACACGGUUGCCAUAUUUCCCUUUCAGUUGUCGGGAAAGACUACAAGUUCUUAAAAAACCCAUUUUGGCUAAUCAGGUCAGGCUACAUCAGGGCAGCCCAUUUCUGGAAUAACAGAUGCUCCUAAUUUGUCCUUAACAUCAUGCCUAACAUUGUCACAAUUGGAUGCCAGAGUCCCUGCUUUGGAGCACCGCCUGUCAGAACUGAGAUGGCCACGGAGGGAGCUCUGAGCCACUCUGCCAUUCGAAACAAUGGGAUCUAUUAAAAAGGAAAAACAAAAAUCAAGCCAGAAAUGGCUGACACGUGCUGAAGGGAGAGGGCAAAGCUGCAUGGACACUCAGUAAGAGUUGAAAUUGAGGCAGAAGAACAGAACCAAAAAUAGUUUGUUAGUGAAUCAGAAGCAUGGAAGGAGACAGUGAGCAAUGGAACAGCACAUGGAGAGGAUCUGUUGGAAAGUGAAUGCACACAUUAUCAUGUACAGAGAUCAGAAGUGAGACUGAAACAGAGCUAUUCCAGAACAAAUACUUCUUUGAAAAAUCAAACAUUUUAAAGUUUUUUUCUUCGUACUGAAUCUACAUAACUGUUUUGUUGUUGCUGUUUUGUUUGCAUUUGUUCGAUGCGACUCUUACAUCAAAUAGGUUGUGAAUAGGAAUGUUGCAAACAAGAACACUGUAAUCAUAUGUUGGCAUACACUCAAGGAAUUCAUGUGCAAAAGCAUUUUCACUGAAAUUCUGAAAGUUACGUUCAUCCAAUCCAAAAAGUAAAACAAAAUCACAUGUGGAAAGUGAAACAGCACGUUAUCUGAAGUUAAAAUACACUCUUGCCAAUUCCAGCUGUUCAAACAUAAUCAGUGAAAACCUUUGCUUUCCAUUUUUCUCACAGAGACUGGUAUUAGCAAUUAAAAGAACAGCCAUCAAAAUAGCAAGGCACAAACAAGCAUCUCACACAUCUUUCCCCACUCACUGUACCUGCUGGUUUAAUAGAGGGUAUUACCUCUCCUAACAGCACCGUGUGCAAGUAGGAGGAGAAAGAAUGAAUUAGGCUGAACAACCUGUUAGAAAGCUGAUCAUUUACAGGAGUUUAGCAACAGCUGGGGUGCAGUGACUGGAAAAUAAGUGAAGAUAUUAGGUGAGAUACCCCCUAAAACUGUCUGAGUCAUUUUCCCAGAAGUGCAGCUCAGUGGUCUUCAGAGCACGUGGCAGCACGAGGAGCUGAUGGCACACUGUCUUUAAGUGUCAGCAGCACACAGGCAAUAAAAACUGGAAAGCCACUGCAGCCACUUAUUACAUAUACUGAAUGUAAAGAAAACUUUUUGAUGCGAUUUACAGGCUCUUUUAUGUGGAACUUGAAAUGGAAAUAUUGAUUGGCUUUAUGAGGAAUCAUUGAAUUAUGCACCAGUCUUUGGAUAUCAAGAUGCAGUAAUUAAGCAAAGACUUCUAAACCUGCAGCAAUUUCAUCUUGGAAAGGCUUCCAUCAAAUUAAUUGACAGCAGGUGCAUUUCUCAGCCUAUUCCAAAGCCAAGAGCUGACACAAAGGUAUAGAAAAUACAGGUCUUUUUGUGGGAGAUGGUCUAAUUAACAAGCAUGAAGAGUGAAGUUUGGUCUCAGCCUGCUCACCAGCUGUGGUUCCUCUCAGAGCUCCCCUGCACUCCAUCCUCAGUGGGGUACACAGACCAACAUGGGCUGAAUACAGCCACAGCCCUCCUCUGCACAUUGCCAGCAGAAUCCCCUGAAAAGGAGCAGAGGUUUAACCCCCCCCCCCCCCCCCUUCAGAUCAUUUGGUUCCACAUUUAAUGGAAGCAGCAGAGACUUCAGAAUAUGAAGUUAGUGACAGAAGUCAUAUGCCACUUUGCUGCUGCACUUUCAUAUAUAAAAUAGUAAAAAUAAAAAAGGCGGAUUUUUUUUUUUUGUAUUUAUUUUUCAACACAGCUAAAGAAGUUACCAUGGCUACCAAUCUCCAGCAGCAUGGUUUAAAUGGACAAAAAAAAAGGGAAACCAGACUGAAGCUUGGAAUAGCCAGGUAUAGGUCACUCUGCCCAAUAAACACAGUGUGUAUUAGUGAACUGAGGCAGGAGCAAGGGAUGGACUGAAAACAUUCAACACUGAAAACAAGAACAAGGAAUAGGAGGUCACGGAGAUGUGCAAGUCAUGUGUGCACCUUCAGAUUUUGAUAGAACAUUUCAGUAGGAUCUCAACUGCCCUCCCUUUAAAGAAAAUGCACUCCAGGCCCUGAGAUUGGCAAAGGUAUAUUCUUACAUUUCAGAAACAGAGCAAAGGAGAUGUUAAAUAAAAGCCUCAAAAGAAUGUGAUUCAUUUUAUCCUGAUACACACAUUGUUCACAAGAAUUUAGUGUCAUUUAAGCACUGUAAUAUGUUUGGAGAAUGGAAAAAAAAUACCUGGCUGCACAGGACAAUGCACAUCACUGUCAUACCAGUGAGCCAGGCAUAGCAAUAAUUCAUUGAGAGAAAUCAUUUGUGCUCAUAUAAUGGGGACUGUUUAAU
ensembl:lncRNA